rnacentral:rRNA from 1 species
ACGAACGCUGGCGGCGUGCCUAAUACAUGCAAGUCGAACGCUUCUUUUUCCAUCGGAGCUUGCUCCACCGGAAAAAGAGGAGUGGCGAACGGGUGAGUAACACGUGGGUAACCUGCCCAUCAGAAGGGGAUAACACUUGGAAACAGGUGCUAAUACCGUAUAACAAUCGAAACCGCAUGGUUUUGAUUUGAAAGGCGCUUUCGGGUGUCGCUGAUGGAUGGACCCGCGGUGCAUUAGCUAGUUGGUGAGGUAACGGCUCACCAAGGCGACGAUGCAUAGCCGACCUGAGAGGGUGAUCGGCCACAUUGGGACUGAGACACGGCCCAAACUCCUACGGGAGGCAGCAGUAGGGAAUCUUCGGCAAUGGACGAAAGUCUGACCGAGCAACGCCGCGUGAGUGAAGAAGGUUUUCGGAUCGUAAAACUCUGUUGUUAGAGAAGAACAAGGAUGAGAGUAACUGUUCAUCCCUUGACGGUAUCUAACCAGAAAGCCACGGCUAACUACGUGCCAGCAGCCGCGGUAAUACGUAGGUGGCAAGCGUUGUCCGGAUUUAUUGGGCGUAAAGCGAGCGCAGGCGGUUUCUUAAGUCUGAUGUGAAAGCCCCCGGCUCAACCGGGGAGGGUCAUUGGAAACUGGGAGACUUGAGUGCAGAAGAGGAGAGUGGAAUUCCAUGUGUAGCGGUGAAAUGCGUAGAUAUAUGGAGGAACACCAGUGGCGAAGGCGGCUCUCUGGUCUGUAACUGACGCUGAGGCUCGAAAGCGUGGGGAGCGAACAGGAUUAGAUACCCUGGUAGUCCACGCCGUAAACGAUGAGUGCUAGGUGUUGGAUCCUUUCCGGGAUUCAGUGCCGCAGCUAACGCAUUAAGCGCUCCGCCUGGGGAGUACGACCGCAAGGUUGAAACUCAAAGGAAUUGACGGGGGCCCGCACAAGCGGUGGAGCAUGUGGUUUAAUUCGAAGCAACGCGAAGAACCUUACCAGGUCUUGACAUCCUUUGACCACUCUAGAGAUAGAGCUUCCCCUUCGGGGGCAAAGUGACAGGUGGUGCAUGGUUGUCGUCAGCUCGUGUCGUGAGAUGUUGGGUUAAGUCCCGCAACGAGCGCAACCCUUAUUGUUAGUUGCCAUCAUUUAGUUGGGCACUCUAGCAAGACUGCCGGUGACAAACCGGAGGAAGGUGGGGAUGACGUCAAAUCAUCAUGCCCCUUAUGACCUGGGCUACACACGUGCUACAAUGGGAAGUACAACGAGUCGCAAAGUCGCGAGGCUAAGCUAAUCUCUUAAAGCUUCUCUCAGUUCGGAUUGUAGGCUGCAACUCGCCUACAUGAAGCCGGAAUCGCUAGUAAUCGCGGAUCAGCACGCCGCGGUGAAUACGUUCCCGGGCCUUGUACACACCGCCCGUCACACCACGAGAGUUUGUAACACCCGAAGUCGGUGAGGUAACCUUUUGGAGCCAGCCGCCUAAGGUGGGAUAGAUGAUUGGGGUG